GACGAACGCUGGCGGCGUGCCUAAUACAUGCAAGUCGAGCGGAGCUGAUGAGGUGCUUGCACCUCUGAUGCUUAGCGGCGGACGGGUGAGUAACACGUAGGUAACCUGCCUGUAAGACUGGGAUAACCCACGGAAACGUGAGCUAAUACCGGAUAGGCGAAACUCUCGCAUGGGAGAUUCGAGAAAGGCGGAGCAAUCUGCCACUUACAGAUGGACCUGCGGCGCAUUAGCUAGUUGGUAGGGUAACGGCCUACCAAGGCGACGAUGCGUAGCCGACCUGGGAGGGUGAUCGGCCACACUGGGACUGAGACACGGGCCGGACGCCUACGGGAGGCAGCAGUAGGGAAUCUUCCGCAAUGGGCGAAAGCCUGACGGAGCAACGCCGCGUGAGUGAUGAAGGCCUUCGGGUCGUAAAGCUCUGUUGCCAAGGAAGAACAGCCGAGAGAGUAACUGCUCUCGGAAUGACGGUACUUGAGAAGAAAGCCCCGGCUAACUACGUGCCAGCAGCCGCAGUAAAAC
rnacentral:rRNA from 1 species